CCUACGGGAGGCUGCAGUGAGGAAUAUUGGUCAAUGGGCUUACGCCUGAACCAGCCAAGUCGCGUGAGGGAAGACUGCCCUAUGGGUUGUAAACCUCUUUUGUCAGGGAGCAACGCCGGCUACGUGUAGCCGGACUGAGAGUACCUGAAGAAAAAGCAUCGGUUAACUCCGUGCCCGCAGCCGCGGUAAUACGGAGGAUGCGAGCGUUAUCCGGAUUUAUUGGGUUUAAAGGGUGCGUAGGCGGAAUGCCAAGUCAGCGGUAAAAUCGCGGGGCUCAACCUCGCUACGCCGUUGAAACUGGCGUUAUUGAGUGGGCGAGAAGUAGGCGGAAUGCGUGGUGUAGCGGUGAAAUGCAUAGAUAUCACGCAGAACUCCGAUUGCGAAGGCAGCAUACCGGCGCCCAACUGACGCUGAAGCACGAAAGCGUGGGUAUCGAACAGGAUUAGAUACCCCAGUAGUC
rnacentral:rRNA from 1 species